CAAAUAUGGCCGACAUUGUACCAGAUUGGUCGUUUAAAGAAAAAGCAAUUUGCUAUAUUGAAAGAUAAUGAUUAAUAAAAGUGUUAUUAUUGUACAUAUUAAUGUGACUGGAGUUAAUGAUAAACGUCAACUAAUGCAUGGCAGUGUUGAUAUUUAUGAAAAAAAAAACGAUUCCUGGAAAUACGAUGUUAAACGGUUGAAAAUUUUGACCACUGUGAAGAAUAACGUUUAGAACCCGUGUCACUUACAACAUUUUAUAUUGUUGGUGAGAAGUAAAAGGGGAUAAAGUGGAUUUAUGCUUGUGUGAUGACUGUAGCCACGUGAACGGGUUAUCGUACGGCAAAACCCAUCACGUCAAGAAGAGUCUUCAACUUUUCAAGAAAGCCUUGUUUUGCUAUCAACACAAAGCUCGGAACAGGAAGUGAUACAUUGUAUGCUGAUUACCUGUGCAGGAGGAAAAUGAAACCAGACAGAUUAUGGACUCAAAUUCAACCCGUAAAAAAGCUAGGAACUUGCAGUCACUGAGUGUUCUUGUUUACAGUCAUGUGUUCAAUGCUGCCACAACAUAAAUAUUAUAGCUGGCUCUGGACUCGACCAUAUGCAUCUUAAAAUGAUCUUUGAACGCGAUGGUCUCAAGAAUAUUUUUAUAAUGAAUAACUUUGACGGUCAGCCCAGGGUCACCAAUGCCAAGCGUCUUUUGGAGACACUUAUUCCAACCUGUCAAAGUUCUUCAAAGAACUACCAUGACAAUCGCGUAUUUGUUUUGUUUGUCAUAAUAAGUUUAAUGUUUAAUAUCACUAGUCAUUGAUACAUUGAUAAAUCUAUUUUCCUUUAAACGUGUUUGAUUGAAUGAUUAUAUGUGCCUUGUUACUUAAUUAUUAAUGUUCUUAUUUCCCUGUAACAUUUUCAAGUCUUAUUUAUAGAAGAACGCAUUUCAUCUCACACAUGAUAUAUGAGAUGUAUGUAUGUUUAUAUGUUUAUGGGUUUACUAUAGGCGUUUCCUCUUUUUUAUGCCCCCCUUCAAAGAAGAGGGGGUAUAUUGCUUUGCUCAUGUCGGUCGGUCUGUCUGUCGGUCCGUCCACCAGGUGGUUGUCAGACGAUAACUCAAGAACGCUUGGGCCUAGGAUCAUGAAACUUCAUAGGUACAUUGAUCAUGACUCGCAGAUGACCCCUAUUGAUUUUGAGGUCACUAGGUCAAAGGUCACGGUGACCAGAAAUAGUAAAAUGGUUUUUGAAUGAUAACUCAAGAACGCAUACACCUAGGAUUAUGAAACUUCAUGGGUAGAUUGAUCAUGACUUGCAGAUGACCCCUAUUGAUUUUGAGGUCACUAAGUCAAAGGUCAAGGUCACGGUGACCCGAAAUAGUAAAAUGGUUUUCGGAUGAUAACUCAAGAACGCUUUUGACUAGGAUCAUGACACUUCAUAGGUACAUUGAUCGUGACUCGCAGAUGUUCCCUAUUGCUUUUCAGGUCACUAGGUCAAAGGUCAAGGUCACAGUGACACAAAUUGUAUUCACACAAUGGCUGCCACUACAACGGACAGCCCAUAUGGGGGGCAUGCAUGUUUUACAAACAGCCCUUGUUUUAUCUUUUUAUAAUAAUUUUUGAACAUUUAGCUCAUCUUAAUGCUCACAUAUAAAAAUCUCAAAUUCAGUAUGGCGUUUCUGGAAAAGGGGGGUAGCCUUGAUUGUAAAGCCGGAACUUUUCGUUUUCACUGGUGACCCUCAUUUUUAGCUUAUUAUUAUAAAACAAUGUCUUUGCCAUCAACUACAAAUUUCUGUAUAGUUUUUUGUUCGUUUGUAAGUUUUUCAUUUUUUGCAAAGUAUUUUGUAUUGUUUUCAUUGUGUUCAACAUGCUGUGCCCGUGCAUGAAGUAUUAUGCCAUCAAAUUGUAGUUUUCAACUAUGUUAUUCAAAAUGUUCCUAUUUUUGGAGUGAGUAUAAAGAUUUCGAUUAUUUUUAUCUCUAAUUAUGCGUUAAGAACAAAAUUGAAAUCACCUCCAACUAAAAUGUUUUUAUCUUUGUUAUUUAUUUUAUUGGAAUGUAAUGUUUCAUAAAAUUUGGAUUCAUCUAUAUUCAGGCCGAAAACGUUUAUUAAUGUUAAUUGUGUUUCGUGUAUUAAUAUCCCCCGCCAGAGGCGGAGGGAUAUUGUUUUGGCGUUGUCCGUCCGUCCAGAUGUCCGUCCGGCACUUUUGUGUCCGGAGCCAUAUCUUGGAAGUGCUUUGGCGGAUUUCAUUGAAACUUGGUGUGAGUAUAUAUAUGCAUAAGAGGAUGAUGCACACCAAAUGGCAUUGUACACCAUCUGUUAAAAAUAGAGUUAUGGCCCUUUGUAUCUUGAAAAAAUGCUUUUUACUAUAGGCACUUUUGUGUCCGGAGCCAUAUCUUGGAAGUGCUUUGGCGGAUUUCAUUGAAACUUGGUAUGUGUACAGUCAUUGAAAUUUAGAUGUAAAUCUACAAGCAAGUGGGGCUAGUAAUAUGGACAUUUGAACUAGCCCGAGUCAGAUUUUACUAGCCCAAACAUUUUUGUUAAAAAUGCAGAUAAACAUAACAUAAAACAUCCAAAGAAGCAUUCAUUUAUUCAAUCUUUAGAACACAAUACAACUCUCAUAUUAAUUUCAUCCUCAUCCAAGUCAGCUUCCUCUUCAUCUGAGCCAGCCUCUUUCGGAUCCUGAAAUAAGAAGAAAUUAAUUUCACACACGGAUUUCAAUUUUAUCACAAUUAUAAAUAUAUACAUUAAGUUUAGGUAAAAAAAUAGCAGAAAUGUAUCCCAUAUAUCCAUGUGAAAGAGAGAGCAAACCUGAACCACCAGAAAAUAUAUAAGCAAUUUAGUGCCAGGUUAUUCUACAAAAAGCCAGUUGACAAAUGCGUCAAUCACACUUACCUCAGAUUCGCAUUCCUCAACGACGUACUUCAAUGACAACUGUUCGGCCAUUACUCUCUGUGUCCCGAACGAAACGCAAAACAUUUAUUUUACAUAAUAAUAAUCCGGGAACCGCAAAACCAUGCGCUUUAUGCACAGUAAUCCAAUUAUCGGCUGAUUGCCCAGCACGUGCGCGCAGUGUGUUAAAACAUAAGCAGCUGUUGAUUUAAGCGGCUCAAAACUUUGUUUACAAAUAUUGAAAAUGAAAUUCUAACUCGUUUUGUUAAAUGAAUUGUACAAGCACGUCGGGCUUGUAAUAUUGGAUUUCCUACAAGCCCGAAUUAAAAAAAACUAGUUUUUUGCUGUCGGACUAGUGCGAUUUUCGACGACUGUGUGUAUAUACAUAUGCAUAACAGGAUGAUGCACGCCAGAUGGAAUCGUACACCAUCUGUUAAAAACAGAGUUAUGGCCCUUUGUAUCUUGAUGCUUUUUACUAUAGGCACUUUUGUGUCCGGAGCCAUAUCUUGGAAGUGCUUCGGCGGAUUUCAUUGAAACAUGGUUUGAGUACAUAUAUGCAUAAGAGGAAGAUGCACGCCAAAUGGCAUUGUAUGCCAUCUAUCUGUUAAAAACAGAGUUAUUGCCCUUUGUAUCUUGAAAAAAUGCUUUUUACUAUAGGUACUUUUGUGUUUUGAGGUGGCGGUUUUCAUUGAAACUUGGUAUGAGUAUAUAUAUGGAUAAGAGGAUGAUGCACACUAAAUGGCAUUGUACACCAUCUGUUAAUAACGGAGUAAUGGCCCUUUGUAUCUUGAAAAAAUGCAUUUGUUUGCGUGUCGGCAGCUAUAUCUUGGGCGUGCUUUGUCGGAUUUCAUUGAAACUUUGAAUGAGUAUAUAUAUUGAUAAGAUAAUAAUGCACGCCAAAUGGCAUUGUACAUUAUCUGUUAAUAAUGGAGUUAUGGCCCUUUUUAUCUUGAAAAAAUGCUUUUUUGAGUGUCAAAUAUAACACUUUUGUGUCCAGCAUCAUAUUGGCGGGGGAUAUCAAUUCAACAAAUUUGCUUGUUAUAUCUAUACUUGCUUGUCUGCCAAUUAUUAUUUCUUUCAAGUUAGCCACUGUUAUUCCUGUAUUACUUUUGAUCAGUAAAGUGAUGCCUUGUUUAUUUGUAUGUUGUCCGCUAAGAUAAAUAUCUCCGUCCCAUGCACUUUUCAAUGUUUGUGCGCAGGUACGUGUGAUGUGAUUUUCCUGUAAAAGACUUUUUUUCGUCUAACCAUUUGAAAAUUUAAGUGUGUUUGUCUUUGUUAUUUAGCCCUUUUACAUUUAGAGUACAUAUGUUAAUAUUCAUACAAAAGGAGGAGAAAUACAUGCCACUGUUCUUGUUUCUAACAUUUUACAAUAAUUUUGUAGAGCUAGAUUAUUUAUUGAUACUAAAUUAUGCAAAAUUAUAUUACGCUUUGACGUUAAAAACAAUAACCUUCCAUGUCGUUGAUACAUUCUGUUCAUUAAAUUGAUCUACGUACUUGUUCAUUUAUUACAAUGGUAUUGGUAACUAUGCCCUGCCUUCAUUUAAAUUGAUCUCGAUACCAUUUUUUAAACAUUUCAUUAUCAUUAACACUUUGCUUUCCGCGUGGUAAGACCACCAUUGUUAAAUGAAUGAAUAAUUUAGUGAAUUAGUUAAAUGUGUUUGAAUAUCGUUCCAAAAUAUUUUAUAACACUUGUUAGUGAUGCUAUCAGAUCCAGAACUUUUGUUAUUUUGCAUUUCUUUAAGAGCUAGUCCACAUUCAUAUUCAGUUAGUAAUCCGUCACAUACUUCUUUUUCCUCUUCAUUUAAAGCAUAAUGUGUUUUUUUACAGAGGGUGUUAUUUUCAACAUUCUUUCGUUUAUAGGGUUUCAAAAAAUAGGUUUGUUCUAUUAUUUGCACAAUAUUCAUAUUCAGUUUGUAAUCCUUCACAUACUUGUUAUUCCUCUUCCUUUAAAGCAUGAUGUGUUAUUAAUUUACAGAGGUUGUUAUUUUCGACAUUCUUUCGUUUAUAGUGUUUCGAAAAAUAGGCUUCUUCUAUUAUUUGACUUUUAUUUGAUAUGUCUUUGCCAUUAACUACUAGUCUGUGUAUAGUUUUGUGUUUGCAUCUACAUUGUAAAAUGUUUGCACAGUAUUUUGUAUUGUUUUCAUUGUGUUCAACAUGAUGUGCCUGGCUCGAAGUACAUGUAUUAUGCCAUUGAGGUGUGUGUGAUAAAUUCCUUCUUUUAUAAUUUUGUUAUGCCCCCCUUCGAAGAAGGGGUGUAUAUUGCUUUGCUCAUGUCGGCCGGUCGGUCGGUCCAUCCACCAGGUGGUUUCCGGAUGAUAACUCAAGAAUGCUUGGGGCUGGGAUCAUGAAACUUCAUAGGUACAUUGAUCAUGAUUCGCAGAUGACCCUAUUGAUUUUGAGUUCACUAGGUCAAAGGUCAAGGUCACAGGAGAAGGUCACAGUUACUGGAAAUAGGCAUUUUAGGGAUUUUGCAUGGUUCAAACAAGGGAAACAACUACCGUUUAUGCAUGUUCUUUUUAUUACAGCAUUUGCCUCCCUUUAAUUCAUUUAAAAUCUCAUUUUACAGCAGAGUAGUCAAAUCUGACCUGUAAAUGAGCCCCAUAUUUACUGCCAGUGCUAGGUUACCUUUUCCCAUUUGAUCAUUCUUAAGUAUUGGUAUUGUAAUGCUGCUGCUACUGCUACUGCUACUGCUGCUGCUGCUACUACUACUACUACUACUACUACUACUACUACUAAUACUACUACUAAUACUACUACUACUUCUACUACACCACCACCACCACUACACCACCACCACCACCACUACACCACCACCACCACCACCACCACCACCGUUCACAGUGACAAAAAACGUAUUCACACAAUGGCUGCUACUACAACUUAUAGCCCAUAUAGGGGGGCAUGCAUGUUUUACAAACAGCCCUUGUUUUAUAAGAAUUUCCUUCUUCAAUGGAGGUGGUAUAAUUUGUGUUUCUUUUAUGCAUCUGUUUUUCAAGUGCUUCAAUGACUUUUAUGGCUUCAUUUUCAAGUUUGUGUGUUUCUUUUUUUUUAGCUUACCUGAGCACAACGUGCUCAUGGUGAGCUUUUGUGAUCGCCUUUUGUGCCUUGUCUGUCGUGCAGCGUCAACAUUUACCUUGUUAACACUUUAGAGGUCUCAUUUAUUGUCCAAUCUUCAUGAAACUUGGUCAGAACAUGUGUCCCAUUAAUAUCUUGGACGAGUUCGAAAAUGCUUCUUGUUGUUGAAAAACCUGGGUGCCAGGGGGCGUGGCAGUUUUCCUAAUAUGGCUAUUGUAAAACCUUGUUAAGACUCUAGAAGUUACAUUUUUUGUUUAAUCAUCAUGAAACUUGGUCGGAACAUGUGUCCCAAUAAAAUCUUUGACAAGUUCAAAAAUGGUUCCGGUUGGAAGAAAAACAUGGCCGCCAGGGGGCGGGGCAGUUUUCCUAUUAUGGCUAUAGUAAAACUUGUUCACACUGUAGAAGUCCAAUUCAUUGUUCAAUCUUCAUGAAACUUAGUCAGAACAUUUGUUCUAAUGAUGGGGGGGGGGGGGGGGGGCAGUUGUCCUUAUAUGGCUUUAGUGAAAACUUGUUGACGCUAUAUUAGCCUUAUUUAUUGGCCAAUCUACAUGAAACUUGGUCAAAGCAUUAUUUUGUCCCAAUGAAAUCUUAGCGAAGAUUGAAACUGGGUUAUAUGAGCUUAAAAACUAGGUCGCUAGGUCAAAUAUAAAAAUAAACAUGUUGAAAGUCACUUUUUUUGGUCUAAUCUUCAUGAAUCAGCUUGCAUUUGUCCAGAAUAGUCUAGUUCCUUUUGCUCUCAGGUGAGCGCCUUAGGGCCUGACGGCCCUCUUGUUUUAAAUGACGUGCAUCUUAUUGUUGUGUUAAGUAUCUUGCCUUUAAUUAUUUCCCAUAAGGUGUUUGGAUUUGCAUCUUUGUUAUCUUAAACUGUAUUGGUUAUUACCUGUUAUAUUUGUGUUUGAUAUUGUUUAUCUUUUCAGAAGCUAUUAUUAACUUUUAAAGUACCUUGGGCCUCUUUCAGGUUGUAUUUCAUGCAGUUAAAGUUCAACUAUCGAGUGAUCAGUCAUAAAUCCUGGUUUUAUGUUGCAUGUGUCGAUAAGGUUGCAAAUAGACUCGCAUAUUUAAAAAAAUCGUAUCUCCAAAAUAUUGCUGUUUUUGUGUUUGAGUGCCAGGUGAAUUUUCUUUCAUUAUGAUAAACUGUAUGUCUUAUGUCUAUCAAAUUGUAGUUUUCAAUUAUGUUAUUCAAAAUGUUCCUUUUUUGGAGUGAGUAUAAAGAUUUCCAUUUCUUUUAUCUCUAAUCAUGGGUUAAGAACAUUAUUGAAAUCCUCUCCGACUAUAAUGUUCUUAUCUUGGUUAUUUAUUAUAACAUUUGGAUUCAUCUAUGUUCGGACCGUAAACAUUCAUUAAUGUUAAUUGUUUUUCGUGUAUUUUUAUAUCUAUACUUGCUUGUCUGCCAAUAAUUAUUUCGUUCAAGUAAUCCACUGUUAUUCCUGUAUGACUUUUACUCAGACAAGCGAUGCCUUGUUUAUUUGUAUGUUGUCCGCUAAGAUAAAUAUCUCCGUCCCAACCACUUUUCAAUGUUUUUGCUAAGGUAUGUUUUAGGUGACUUUCCUGUAUAAAAAAGACAUAUAUUACUUUUUUGUGUAACCAUAUGAAACUUUUAGUGCAUUUGUCUUUGUUAUUUAGCCCUUGUACAUUUACAGUACAUAUGUUUAUACUCACACAAAAAGACGGAAUUGCAUGAUACCAUUCUUGUUCCAAACAUUUUAAAAUCAUUGUGUAGAGCUAGAUUAUUAGUUAAUAGUUCAUUAUGUCAAGUUAUAUUAAGCUUUGAUGAUAAAAACAAUUACCUUCAAUGUUCUACAGGUUGUUGAUACAUUGUGUUCAUUAAAUUGAUCUCAGCA